UACAGGGGGUGCAAACGUUGCUCGGAAUUAUUGGGCGUAAAGCGUCCGCAGGUGGCAAUGUAAGUCUGCUGUUAAAGAGUCUAGCUCAACUAGAUAAAAGCAGUGGAAACUACAUAGCUAGAGUACGUUCGGGGCAGAGGGAAUUCCUGGUGUAGCGGUGAAAUGCGUAGAGAUCAGGAAGAACACCAGUGGCGAAGGCGCUCUGCUAGGCCGUAACUGACACUGAGGGACGAAAGCGUGGGGAGCGAACAGG
rnacentral:rRNA from 1 species